UACGAAGGGGGCUAGCGUUGCUCGGAAUUACUGGGCGUAAAGCGCACGUAGGCGGUCUUUUAAGUCGGGGGUGAAAUCCUGGAGCUCAACUCCAGAACUGCCUUCGAUACUGGAAGACUUGAGUCCGGGAGAGGUGAGUGGAACUGCGAGUGUAGAGGUGAAAUUCGUAGAUAUUCGCAAGAACACCAGUGGCGAAGUCGGCUCACUGGCCCGGUACUGACGCUGAGGUGCGAAAGCGUGGGGAGCAAACAGG
rnacentral:rRNA from 1 species